rnacentral:lncRNA from 1 species
GAAAGGUUCUCGGAGAUGAAGAAAGGUUAUGUAUUAAAUAAAUAAAUACAGAAAUCCCACUAUAAAAGAAACUGCCCCAUCAUUUUUCCAACUUGUUUAGACUAUACAUUUGUUCCUUUACAAAAUUUGAUGCUUUAAUCCAACUUAGCAUUUUUCUAUUUAUUUAAUAGGGAUCUAUCGAGAUGUCUUCACUUUCUAAUAAAAUUUCACUGAAAUGUCUUCACAAUUUCGGUAGAUAUCUAUUGAAGAAUUGUCUCGUAGUUUAGAGUUCAACCAACAGUAUAACAACGUUCAAAUUGGUGCAAAUUAAAAAAUAAAAAUAAAAAUAUGAAAUCACACAUCAUGUGGAUCCUCCAACAAAUCGAAUCAUUGUUUGAUUCUUUAAAUAUAAGCACAUGUCAUCAAAGUGCGAGUACUUAUAGAUGGGAGAGUUGGUACGAGAGCUGAAAAAAAGAACUUGCUUUCUGUGAAGUUUUUCAUUUUCAGACAUUUUUUUAGGUGGUGCUAUUUGCACAUUCUUUUUUAUUUUUCACACAUAUUUGGUUUAUUUCAGUUUUUUGAUCCGAUUCAGUUCAUUUGAUUCGAUUGCUGAAAAUUAAGAGGAGUGUGUGGAGGGUAAAAAGAUGUGUGUAAAAGUACUCUCUUCUAAUUGGUAAUUCACAAUCAUACUUGUUAUUAGAGCAUUCUUGUCUCAAUCUUGGAGAGUCGAAAGCUUUCCACUAUGACAUUUGAGUGAAGAAAGUCGAGGUUCUACCAUAAAACUAAUUGGCAAUAUGGCAAUGUUUCUCCUCUCAUCAAUGUGGAUUCAUUCUCAACACACUCUUUCACGUGUGACGAGUUUUCAAGCCUAACACGUGGACAACACAACUCGGGUGACGUGGAGCACAUAUGGUCGUUGGGCUUCACACGUGACACAACCUGCUCUAAUACUAUGAAAAAGUUGAGGUUCCACCAUAAAUCCAAUUGACAAUAUGAGAAUAACCCAACUUACUUGUAAACCCAUGCAAUGUCCUUCAUCCCAUCAAUGUAUGAUUCAUUUUCAAGCUUAACACGUGAACAACACAACUCAGGUGACGUGGAGUACGUGUGGCCAUUGGGCUUCACAUGUGAGACAACUUGUUCUGAUACCAUGAAAGAAGUUGGGUUUCCACCAUAAAACCAAUUGGUAAUAUGGAUAGUAGCCCAACUAUUUAUAAAUAUGCAAGAUUCCUCAACUCAUCAAUAUGUGAUUCAUUCUCAACAUGAAGUUUUGACGAGAAUGUAGGAGAGACAACAUACUCCAGUCUUUGACUGAGGUUGCUAGAGACGGAAUAGAUCAGCCAGUCGACAGUACUCAUAACGAUGGAGUAGAGUUUGAUCACUUGCUUCGUUUAGAGGGCAAAAAGACCAUGUGGAGGUCCAGAACAUAAUAUGCCCUCCUUUUUUGUUUUUAUGUAAUUUUUGAUUUUUAAAUAACAACCUGUGGCUUGAACGCUUGAAUCAUUUAAGGCCUGGGAGAAAUAAUAUCAUCAGUAUGUAAACAAAUGGGCCAUCUAUCCUUUAUGAUUAUUUCAUCUAAUACCUAAACAAAUGGACAGUCUUCACGAUUUCAGCCACAAUUCAAAUAUCUUUCAUCCUCCAACAACGAAGAAUUCAGAUGUGAUCCAAAUGCAUCGUAUCUCAAUGUUUUGUGGCGGAACAUCAGUGUUCAUUACUUAAUAAGGGCUCCAUAGGUCAAGUCGACCUCCAUUUUCUCCACUUCAGUCCUGUUGCAUCCAAAAGUAUUUUAAGAUUUUGGUUUUGGUUAAAGAUCAAAUGAAACUUCAUUAACAACGAUUAAGAGUUUAUACGGGAUAAAACCAUCUUCAAUCCAUGGGAUAAAGUUUAAAAUAUAAGCUUUAACACCCCCCUCCCCCCUCCCCCCCAAAAAAAAAACCAUUUCCAACCAUUAGGCUAAAAUAAGUUUUGGAGAGAAAAUAUAUCUCUAGGCUAGAUUGAUUUUCCCCCAAGAUUUAAGUUUGACUUAAAUUAUUCUGGACUCACCAAAUUGUCAUAUUUCAAACCUUAUUUUGUUUUUACUUAUAAUCUAACAGCUAUGAUUAAAUGAGAUCAGAUCUAAGAGUAAAAAAAAGAUUUAACGGUCCAAAAUUAAAUAUAACGUCUAAAAUAAUUUAAUUCAAAUUUAACUUAAAACUUUAUAAAUACCUAUGUAUUUGUAUGAUUUUUAAUUACUUAUCGGAAUUUAAAUAUUUUUAGGUUAAAAUGUUCAUAAAAAUAAAUUAGGAUAAUCUACAUAAAUUUUAUUUUCAAAAAAGUUACCAAAACAAACAAAUUAGGCUAAAAUUAUCAUUUAAUAAUCUCGAGCUAAAAUUUUGGAGGAGAAAAACAGUUUCCUAGUUAUGACUUAAAUUUUUAAGCAAUUCUCACGUUGGAGCAAGAGGCCACACAUGCCUGAAGAAACAUGCAAAUUCAUAAUUAAAAAGUCAUAAAUAUACAAAAUAAUUCCUUGGUGAUGGAGGACUCACAAUCAACAAGGAAGAUGGCACUUGCAAGGACUAAACCUUGGAUGCCAAAGAAUUAUCUGAUGAAAUAUCUCACAUCGAUCGUAUUUUUGAGAUAAGAAUAGUUUAAAUAUCCAAACUUCAUUUCAACUAAUACCGAUGCCUUUUGUGAUAAUACCUCACACCUAACAGACUGUGCAAUUGGUAACUAUCAAGUUGAGGACAAUAUUGGUGUUGUUGAAAGUGGGCUAUUGGCCAAUCUCUCUGAUAAUUCUACAUGAUAUUAGAGCUAGAGAGCAGGUCCGUACUGCCACGUUAUGAGUGGGUCC